rnacentral:rRNA from 1 species
AACGAACGCUGGCGGCAUGCCUAACACAUGCAAGUCGAGCGCCCGUAGCAAUACGGGAGCGGCGCACGGGUGAGUAGCGCGUGGGAACCUGCCCAGAGGUUCGGGACAACCGCGGGAAACUGCGGCUGAUACCGGAUGAUGCCUGAGGGCCAAAGAUUUAUCGCCUUUGGAGGGGCCCGCGUCGGAUUAGGUAGUUGGUGAGGUAACGGCUCACCAAGCCUGUGAUCCGUAGCUGGUCUGAGAGGAUGAUCAGCCACACUGGGACUGAGACACGGCCCAGACUCCUACGGGAGGCAGCAGUGGGGAGUAUUGGACAAUGGGGGCAACCCUGAUCCAGCAAUGCCGCGUGGGUGAUGAAGGCCU